AGCGAACGCUGGCGGCAGGCUUAACACAUGCAAGUCGAGCGGGCAUAGCAAUAUGUCAGCGGCAGACGGGUGAGUAACGCGUGGGAACGUACCUUUUGGUUCGGAACAACUGAGGGAAACUUCAGCUAAUACCGGAUAAGCCCUUACGGGGAAAGAUUUAUCGCCGAAAGAUCGGCCCGCGUCUGAUUAGCUAGUUGGUUAGGUAAUGGCUCACCAAGGCGACGAUCAGUAGCUGGUCUGAGAGGAUGAUCAGCCACAUUGGGACUGAGACACGGCCCAAACUCCUACGGGAGGCAGCAGUGGGGAAUAUUGGACAAUGGGCGCAAGCCUGAUCCAGCCAUGCCGCGUGAGUGAUGAAGGCCGUAGGGUUGUAAAGCUCUUUUGUGCGGGAAGAUAAUGACGGUACCGAAAGAAUAAGCCCCGGCUAACUUCGUG
rnacentral:rRNA from 1 species